UUGUUAGAACUGAAUUAAAUCAAAACCCCCAAAUUUACAAACCCUAACUUCAUCUUUAGUUUAUUUUCUCACUCCUCUCUGGUGACAGGGUGUGCCACCGCCCUAGUGGGCUUGUCGCCGCUGUCGUUGUGGUGGUUGCGCUACUGUUGUUCUACUUUUGUUCUUGAUGGUGAGGUGUUGAUCUGUCCUCUGAAUUUCUUCCUCUUUACUCUCUUCUCACGGUGAAACCACCACUGUAGCCACCUCACCUUGACCACACCACCACCUCAUUCCCUCGGCCAGAACCGCCGGACCACCCCAGUGGUUGUCACCUGUCGAUUGCUGCUAUUGGUGUUGGUUGUUGAUAUUCCUGCUUGCUCUUGAUCGUAUUAGCAACCUGAACCUUUUUGUAAGGUAAAUUAUUGGGAGAUGGUUAUGGAGAAGUCAGUGCGGAGUUUGAGCUAUGAUUAUUGAUCGAGAAACUAUGAUUCUUGGAGUUGAUAGUGUAGGCGGGGGAAGAGUUAUAUUUUGCAGGAUUAGAUGACUCGGUUUAAGUUAAUGGCUAGCGAUGCUGAGUUGUUAAUGCGCACUUUCUUGCUUCAAGGUGGAGAUUGCUUAGAAGAUGUGUCUUGUUAUUUAAGAUUCAUUAUUUAAGUGGGUUGUAAUUUAUUUUCUUUUAAGGAGUUCCAUGGGUUAUUUUUAUGGUCCCGCAGUUCUUGUUAUUACAUUUUUAGGUUGCGAGUUGUUGGUUUGAGUUAAAUUCGUUAAUUAAGGGUCAAGUGGGAUUAGCAAGCAGCUCGUUAGGAGUGGGCUAUUACAGUCUCGAGUUCUUAUACUUUUGAAUGUGUGUAUGAAGGGUGAUUUGAACACAAUAUUUGACUUUCCAGUUUCAA